AGCACGGAGGACGGAGGCCGGGAGGAGCGGUGGCAGCGCCUCGCUGUCGCUCCGGAGGCCGUCGAAGCCCGGGCCAGAGUUGCCGGCUGUCCCCACGAGGCAAGAUGUGUAGCGAAAGUGUCGGGGUUGGAGCUGUGGCACUGAGGCGUGUAAAAAAAAGCAAAUCGGUGGGGCCCUGUCAUCUACCUCCAGCUUCCACCCUGCCGCAGAGAAUCCGUUCCUCUGUUGCAGCAAGUAGCCCACAGCUCUGACCACAAAGGAUGCAGAAAGUAUGACAUAGAGAGCAAAGGUAUGCACCACAGGCCACAUAACAUCUGCCACUCAGGCCACAUUCCUUAUCCUGGCCUCUGGACACUGGGGCAUAAUGGCUUGUUUUUCUAUUGCUCUGUCUCCCUGUCCUCUCCUUACAAGUAAAGUUACUUUGUGUCAAAGCCCAAGGGGAAAAGGAUUGGGGAAGUGAAGAGGAAACAAG
rnacentral:lncRNA from 1 species